AAACGCACCGUUUGUAUCCAUACAAAAUAAAACAACCGAACUUGAAAAUUCGGUUGAAAAAUCUAAUCGGAAAUCGCCAUUUUUCGACCUUCUGCUCCCAGUCACAAAACGCAGCAAGCCUGUGCCUAUCCCGCUUCCCUUCGUUGAUCGCUCGAUGCCUCCAGCACAAUAGUUUUCUUAGAUUCCAUCUCCACUCUCUUUCUAUCUCUCGUCAUCACAGUUCAUAGCUAAUUCAUUAACCAUAACAUUCCCUGUCUUAUUUUUAUGGAGUUUGCUUCUUUUCAUGGUUUGAUUCACUUAUUCGUCUUUCUUUCUUCUGUCAUCACAUCAAAAAGCGAGAGUCAAGAGCAUGUCCAUCGCUACUAUCACCAUCACCGAAAUUUGUAAUUUGGCAGUACUGUUAUUUAACUUACAAUUAUUUCAUUUUCUUUUGAAAUUCCUCUCAUCUCACCUCCAGAAUCAAAACCAUUAUAUUAUUAUAUAUCUCCAUACUGUUGUUUUCUUGUUUUACUUUGCUUUGCACUUGCUACAAACAUUGAUAAUCAAAAAGCAAAGAAUUCUAUUCAAAAAAUUCACUGCUAAAACAAAAAGAAAAAUGAAAAGAGUGUUAUGUACUGACCGAGGCUAAACAUGGCUAUGCCAAGCUCUGCAUCUGAUAGAACAGAAACAGAGACUUUACUGUAAUGGCAGUCAUUGUAUACGUUAUCUAUUUAUCUUAAUUGUUUUAUUUUAUUUUAUUUUUUUGAAGAUUUAAGAUAUACCAAGAGAGUCCGGAUCAGAUCCAAUACUGCCUCGGUCUUCAAGCCAAACAACAAUUCAAACUGAAGCCUCUUCAGCUUUUGAAAUUGGAUUAAUCUCCAACUUGAAGAGGAAGACAAUGAAGCCGAGAUCGGAAGUAUGGGACCAUUUCACUAAGUUUUUCGAUGCUGAAGGAAAUCAGAAAGGCAAGUGCAAUUAUUGUAAAAAAGAAUACCAUUGUGAUCCAAAAAGACAUGGCACAACUGCACUUAGAAAUCACACGAGUGCAUGCAAAUACAAUGUGCACAAUGAUCAGAACUGUAGACACUCUCGUUUCGCCUAGGAUUGAUCGCAGUCCAAAUCUCACGUCAAGAAUAUAUUAGAAGAUUUAGAAGAACUUCAGAGAUUUGACGAUGAUUUAUUUAUUCUUGAUAAGAAUUGCACAGAUGUAACUGUCACCAAUAGUUGAUAAAAGAGGACGCAACUGUGGUGAAUGAAUUUAGUCGGAUAAAUGAAGCUUAUGAUGGUAUGUAUUCAUCUCUGGCCUCUGUCACUGUUCAGCUUUUGCAAAAGUGGUGAUGCAUGUACUCCAGAACUUCUUUAUUUCACAGCUCAUAUAUUCUUUUGACCAAACUCAAACGGCGGAAGCUGUGGAUUUGUAUAUAGUGGAAGCUGGCGGUGGGCAGACCUCCUUUAGUGAAUUUUUGUUUUUGUAUUUGAAUGUCAGUAUUUUUUUAAUUGAAUGGUUUUUUUAAGGACUCAAAUUCAGGCCAUAGCAAGUUUCGGUUCAAACUGGAAAAUCAAACCAAGUUUCAGUUAGGUUUGGUUUUCCGCUAAUUGGGUUCCUUUAGACAAGUAAAGUUUUAAAUUUUGGUUUA